AUUGAACGCUGGCGGCAUGCCUUACACAUGCAAGUCGAACGGCAGCACGGGUGCUUGCACCUGGUGGCGAGUGGCGAACGGGUGAGUAAUACAUCGGAACGUACCUUAUCGUGGGGGAUAACGCAGCGAAAGCUGUGCUAAUAACGCAUACGCCCUGCGGGGGAAGGCGGGGGAUCGAAAGACCUCGCGCGAGUAGAGCGGCCGAUGCCUGAUUAGCUUGUUGGUGGGGUAAAAGCCCACCAAGGCGACGAUCAGUAGCUGGUCUGAGAGGACGAUCAGCCACGCUGGGACUGAGACACGGCCCAGACUCCUACGGGAGGCAGCAGUGGGGAAUUUUGGACAAUGGGGGCAACCCUGAUCCAGCAAUGCCGCGUGAGUGAAGAAGGUCUUCGGGUUGUAAAGCUCUUUUGUCAGGGAAGAAACACCGGCUCUAACACAGUCCGGGAAUGACGGUACCUGAAGAAUAAGCACCGGCUAACUACGUGCCAGCCGCCGCGGUAA
rnacentral:rRNA from 1 species